rnacentral:rRNA from 1 species
AUUGAACGCUGGCGGCGGGCCUAACACAUGCAAGUCGAGCGAGCGGCGGACGGGUGAGUAAUGUCUGGGAAACUGCCUGAAGGAGGGGGAUAACUCCUGGAACCGGUAGCUAAUCCCGCAUACCCUCCGAUGUGCCCAGAUGGGAUUAGCUAGUAGGUGGGGUAACGGCUGACCAAGGCCACGAUCCCUAGCUGGUCUGAGAGGAUGAACAGCCACACUGGAACUGAGACACGGUCCAGACUCCUACGGGAGGCAGCAGUGGGGAAUAUUGCACAAUGGGCGAAAGCCUGAUGCAGCCAUGCCGCGUGAGUGAAGAAGGCCUUCGGAUCGUAAAGCACUGUCAGCGGGGAGGCGGUACUCGAUGAAGAAGCACCGGCUAACUCCGUGCCAGCCGCCGCGGUAAUAC